rnacentral:other from 1 species
CUCGUAUGAGGGGACGGGAGGACUGUCCUUGCUGCCGUGGUGGGCAGUGGCUGGCCAGGCCCCGACAAACGAGCCCGAGGAGCUCCUGGGAGCCCGAGCCGGAGCCGGGCGAGCGCAGCUUGCAGCUCCCGCCUCGCCGUCCCGGGGGGGCGUCUCGCCUCGCACCCCGCCUCUGGACUUGCCCCUUUCUCUGGGCGUGCGGACCGAGCCAGCGCUUAGGCCGUGAGCGAGCCCGGGGGCCGCCGGCGGGGGAAGGCACCGCGGGCACUGAUUCGCCAUG